CCCCUCUCUCCAUCUAGCGCGGUCUGGCAUUCGGAAAGAACAACUUUGCAGCAGAAUCAAACAACCUGGACUGAGUGGUAGACGUAGCAUAGUAAACGUAACUCCAGUGGCGUAAUGUGACGUUUUGUAUUUAUUUAUUUAUUUUCAUUUAACUAGGCAAGUCAGUUAAGAACAGAUUUUUAUUUACAAUGGCGGGUUGCUGUCAUACCUGGUCCAUAGACUGCUUAAAAACAACAACAUGUAAUUUUGGAAUUUGGUUCAAGAUGUCUUUAUCUGCAUCUACAAAUAUCCCACCUGCACUGACAGCGGAUCAGCUAACGGUCAUCGUGGCCUCCGUGUCCUGCCUGGUGUUCUUCGUAGUGAUUCUCGUGCUCCUGGUGGUCUUGUACAGGAAAGACCCUUUCUGCUGCAGGGUGUCGAACAACCAGCACUGUACAGAUGCUCCACCCCAGUACAACAGAAGACAGUCUCUAGUGGUGUCUCCCUACGAUGAACGUACUGCUGCCAUGGCCCACGGAAACAUUGGUUCCCAGCUUCCAGGGAGGCUGUUUAUCAUCGGUAAGCCCAGUAGCUAUCACCUGGAUGGGAUCCUGCCCCGCCUUCCGUCCUACGAGAGCGUCCGUAAGAAGGACCGUCAGAGACAGAUCCACUCUAUGAUAGCCAACCGCUUUGGUAUCAGCCCCACACAGUCUGAAACGGAGCCUCCUCCGACGUAUGAGGAGACUCUUCGCCAGUCCAUGAUCAUCUCCUCUGAAGACCUACAGUCUGUUGAGGCACGUCCCUCAGACCUCCCUCUCUCCACCUCUACCUCCAGCCUUGAACACACAGUGACAGUAGCCCGGUCACCCUACCACCCUAUUCAGAGCCCGACCCAGGAACCCCUCUCUGUCUAGUCCAGGAGUUAUUUGAGGGCCGGAACACUACUGGUUUUCAACUUCGCAUUUUAACUACAGACUCAUGUUUCUACCCUUUGCAAGAGAAAAGAAGACAAAUCAACAAAGAAAGAGACAUUGUCAUGAUAAUGCAUGAGUCAGUUUCACUCAGAGUUUGUCCUACUGAGACUAACGCUCUCAACUCUGACUGUCUGUUGGUGUAGCGAGUGGUUUUAACAUGACUGUAUGCUGUAAAUGGCUUGAUAUCCUGCCACUGGCAAUGAUAUCCUUUAUCAGCUAAAUAAUCAAAUCAGCCUACAUUUCAAACUCUAGACAUGCUCGGGUGUGUGGAAAGAAGAUGUCCGCACCUCACAAGCAGACAUAUUAUGCUUCAAUCACAACGUCCAAUGUUGUAGACAACCACAAAACAAGGACACUGUCUCGAGUUGAACGUGUUAAUGAAAAAUCGAAAUCUCCUUGUUUCAAAAGAACACCGAGCUAUGAAUACCCAGCUACCUGACAUGUGAUGAUGACGGCUUUGAGUGUAGGGCCAGACCAGAGAGCUGUUGUGGUUGAACACAUCACUAAUUAUUAACACUACUGAGACAGACAAUGCCUAUGUCCCAAAUGGCACCCUUAAUCCCCAUGUAGUGCACUACAUAGGAAAUAGGGUCCCAUUUGAGACACAAUCAAAGUGUGUUCACUCAGGAACAGUUGACCAGGGACUGUUUGUCUUAACCCAGGUCAAACUAACUAUGCACAGAGAAACUCACAAUGACCCUGACGUUUUCUGACCGUGACGUUCCGGAUUGUUUUUGAAACUGCACUGUCGGUUAGGGGCUCGUAAGUAAGCAUUUCACUGUAAGGUGUGACCUGUUGUACUCGGCGCAUGUGACUAAUACAAUUUGAUUUGAUUUACCUCCUGGGCUAAACUGGAAUGGGUUUGUCAAUGUGUUUAGACUGAGAUACGUUAUGUAUACUAUGUAAAACAUUCCUAUUAUGUGUGACCCAAAUCAAACAAAAAAACAUGUGAAAGUAAUAGUUAAAUAGCUGAACCAAAAAGGGUAAAAUAGGUGAACUAAAGUAGAUAUAAAUUACCUAUCCGCUUUUUAAAAAAGUUUACUCUAACCACGUUUCCAUCCACAUUUUUAAUGCUAGUAAAGUCAGCUGUGAAGGAAACAAGAAGUUUCAGUACUAUUUUAUAAAUGCUGACAGAUCAUUUGUUCGUUCGACAUGGUGGGAUCUUUUUGUGUCUGUAAAAUGUGUUAUGUGAGAAAUGGCGGUGGAAACUCGUUUAUGCACAAAUAUUGAUAUAACAACCAUCGUAUGGAAGUAAACUUGGAGUCACGCGAUGACAUGGUGUGUGUGGUCCUCCCACUACGACUGGGGAAUCCAUGCAGUUUAUUAGAAUACAGAUGAAAUAAAUGAUGAACUUCACAGGGGGGUGAAAGUGCACAGUGAUGAGCUUGAUGCUCCUUUCCAAUAAAUAUUGAGGGUCUGAUUCUGGUGAUCGAUGCUUGACUGCCAUUUGACAAAAACAAAUAUUGUUGCUCCUAUCCAUAAUAAUCUCAUCAUGUAGACUAGCCUACCCGCACUGUAUCUACAAGCUGUUGGCUAGAGCGAACGUGCCAAGACCAAUGAGCCUGUCCUCCUACAGCUCCCCCCACCAGCCUCCAUUGCAGAGUAGGUACAUUUACUAUUUAACGUAACAGUUCUUUGUGACAAAACUAUCAGUAGAAGUGAAAAUGUGAUGGCAACAUAUUGAACUUUAGACUUUUAUUAAGUACAUGAAAACUUAAGCAAAAAAGAAAAUUGUGUGCGUCAUCGCUCACUGAUUUUUAUUUGCAAGAAGUCAGUUUGAAUUACACCACUAGUGGGAAAAUCUCCAUAUUUUCUUUAUGCAGAUUUAUUGAAUAUUCACAUGAAAAUCAGUCUCUAAUUAAAUGGAAAACUAGCUAGUGAGACAAAUUAGUUUAGAUUUGUUGUAUUAACUUGACCUAUAUUCAUCUGACAGGAUUGCUAUCAAACUUACUGUCAAGGUGUCAAAAGGGAACACUCCUGCUGUUCUGUUCAUUGACGUUUGUUAAAGUGAGUUAAUUUGUCCGUUUUUCUCUACCAGGCACAAAUAUGUCCAUAUCCUAGAAUAGAUGGUGAGUAAUGUCAGCGAAGGGAGUAGCGACCUCAUUUUAACCUCUCCCUCUUUGCAGAGUUUCUCUCCCCAAACGCAAUCUUCCCCUAAGCACUUACAAAUCUUAUAACACAACACGCUCUAAACUACAGCGCUCAUCAGUUAUUAGAGGGCCUCCAUGAGAAGUGUUUUGACAAGCUGUCAUCUUGUGGUGAAUGUACCAGGGCAUUCGUAAU
rnacentral:lncRNA from 1 species